ACCCCGGAAAAUAUUUAUCACGGGGUCCGGGCCGGCCCGUCCAUCUCCGUUCUCCACCAUCCGGCUGACCUCCGCGCCAGAGUGGGCAGCCGGUGGAAGGGUUGGUUCGACCUCCAUUCUUCCGUUUAGUAUUCUUACAGAAUGGACGUCGUCUGUCGACAAAAACAAAUCCUUUCCUAGAGUUUCCCAGAGUGACGCGCCACUCGAUGCCACCGUAGUCGACAAGGUCCCGCGCAUCUCCCUCGUUCUUAAAAGUUUCGAUCAGUUGGCAACGUAUUCGUGGGGUAAGCUUCGGUCCUCCGUCAUCCGGCCAAACCAUCUUUCUGGCGCUUGUUUUCUGGCCCAGUCGGUUUCUCUCUCGUCUCUGGCAUAUUUUAUUAAAAUCGAUAUCCCUAGUCCUUCUAGCUAUUUUGUAUAAGCUAGAGGGUAGGUAAUUCCAGCUAACCGGGAUAGAAGCGGUCGUGUAGGGACGACUAAACCUAAUCGGAAUAUCCAUUUUAUAUAUAAAGCGUAAUUGGGCCAAUAAUUAAAUUAUCGUUGUCCAGGUUUUACCGCCGUAUUUUAAAAUAUUUAGUACGGUUACGACAAAAAAAUAAUUAAUUAAAAUAUGCGGGGUUAGAAUGAUCCAACCGUGGCGCCGGCUUUCCAUCUGGUCCGGGUUCGAUUCUCGACAUCUUCAGUUUUUUCGGCAGUGGUGGCGUUCCAUUCUUCACGGACGGCUGAUCCCGUCGGAGGUAUAAACGGUGGGUAACGGGGUGAAAAGCCCCGCCGCUUAGUUCUGGCCCAAUGGAAAGCGGCGCGAAAACGUAACUAACGCUUAUAAUGGCAAAUAAGGGGUCGGUUCCACCAACACUAUAAUCGGAUUGUCGGUAAACGACACAGUCAAUAUAAGGACCAGGCUGACACGGCUGACGAAAGUCUGGCUUCCACUAGGAGUUUGGUUAGCCGUGUUUACCGAUAACCAGCCACUAAUACGGCCACAGUUAUUGGCCUUCUGGGUAAAAUGCCUAUCGGUGGAAUUAGAGCGGGCGGUAAAAAAUAACUGUCGAACCUGACCCCAACCACGGCUACCGUCGGAAGCCGACCACACCGUUAACCCGAUAAUUCGAAAUGACCAUGGGGCGCAUUUUCCGAGAUAUACCAUUUGUUAUUAAAGACCAGACGGUUAUAUGUAUUUUAGACAGUGUCCCGAGUAUAGGUUAAAAAAAUGGAGGUCUGGGUAAAAAAUCUAUGCGAAAAAUAACCGCCUAUCUAGGAAAAUUACUUUCCGUAAUCUAUAAAAUGUUUUUAAGAAGCUACGAAAAUACUAUUCUAACCUUUAACCUUAUUUCGAAACCAUUCAUCACCUAAUAGCCGACGACGGUUUUAAAAACAAAUAAAAUGCGCCGUUCGGAUUUGUUUUCUUUUUUGUACUUUUUCUUACCAGCCUAACUGGUGGUGGAGUAUUCCGAUCCGGGUCUGAAAUGUUGGGAAAUGAUUUCUGCACCCGGCCCUUGAGCUUAAAAACCGUGGCUGGAUGGAAAUUUUCCUAAUAGUACCGGUUACGGGGCGGUUAAAGUUAGCCGGCCAUUAGACUAUUUCUUUUACGCUAUACAGCCCGUCCAUAUAUUCCGACGGAUAACCGGAAGUAGAGGCCUUAACGGACGGGAAUAAUCGACCGACCCGAAAAGAAGAUACAGUAACUUUUCGGAGCGAGGACACCGUGUGCCUAAAGCGCCUCGCUUCCUUUCUUCGGCCCGUCCGGCCGGCGUUCUGGACAUUUCCACCUCCCCGCUUAAUUCUUUUAGAUGGCACCGGGUCGGUAUCGGACCGCAAUCAGCCUGGUAAUUUUUAAAUGCCGCCUUUUUCCUCCGUAUGGCGGCCCUCUACCCGGUAUCUUGUCCGUGGUCCGGUCUCGGCUACUAUGGCCGAACGAUGGCCCCACCGUCUAUCUUAUAGUGUUAGCCCGCCUGGAAUUAUGGUCCAGCUUUCGGGCUUGGGUGGGAUUUCUCGAUACACGCUGUAUAUACGGAUCGAGGUGGAAGUAGUUGGAAGGCGGGUGUCCGGAACCGUAUCCCUUAAUCCUUUCGGAAUAAAUAUUUGAUGUAGAAUACUGGCCUGGUUAGAAUUCUGGUAGGUUGUUAGAGUCGGAGCAGUCGUUUAGUGCCAGCGUUAACGAUUUCUGCCAAAGUUGUUCAAUUUUUAUACAGUUGUAGUCGACCGAUGGAGAAUAAUCGAAUAAUUGGGGGCUGGUUCGACCGCUAAUCGCUACAGCGGUACGGAUAUUAGGCUCUUCGGUAAAUUCCUCUCGGCACUCUUUUUAGUUUCCCUUCUAGGCACCGCCGGUCAUCGACUAGGUUUCCGUGGCUAGCCAGGCGGCUCCCCCGGGAGAAGACCGGGCUAGGCGACCACCCCUCUUUUACUAAUUUUAGUUCAGCCGGUGCCGGUAAUAAGAAGCGGACUGCCCACUCUUAUACCUCGUAAGAGAUGGGUCUGGCUGCUAGAAAAAAGUGUGGGCUACAGCCGGACGGUAGGCCGAGGAGAAUUUUAUACCAACCGCUUCCACCAUAUUUUUAAAAAUUUUCCUAUUAAAAUCCGCACUAAUUAGAAUAGUGUGGGUCGGCUCCGGACUAAAUUUUCCAGAUUCCGGUCAAAUUCUUACGCCUACCACCAUCCGACACAGGUAGGCCGAUAUUAUAAACCUGGGUUAUCUUCUCCAGCGCGGCUGGACCGGCACCGUUCUAUCCUUCUUUCCGAUUAUUAGGGCCAACUGAUCGACUAAUCUCCGCCUAGGGCUACACCCGGGCCGUUUCUUCCGGGUCUGUCGCUGUAUAUUUGCUGAUAAAAAAAUCACCCCAUUUUAUAUGGAAAGCAUUUGGGCCUCCGUAACUUUCCGAGUAGGGAAGGCCGAGUAAAGUCAGGCUUCAUAUCCGUGGUAUAACCGGUACCCGGAAGACCGUAUCCGUUUUCGGGCCCGGAUGACCACCGGCCGGUCCGGCUAAAAUGAAAAUUAUCGGCCACCGUAAAUGUUUUUUAAAUAUUUUACUUCCCUUUUCAAUCGGGGCCGAUACUAGGGAUGGGGCCAGUUACGGCCACCGGCCGCACCCACGCCGAUGGAGAGGGGCCGGAUAGUGAAGGAAGGAUGGCCGGGCGGGCCAGCGCCCCGAAAAACUAUUCGGGGAUUACCAGACCCGGGAGGCCAAUCCGGGACCUCCCGCCUGGCAGGUCCGUCCGGCCUCCGUCAACAGGGGCCCGGGUUCUCCCGCCGGAGGGGGCGGCCGGAUGGCCGAGUGGUAAGGCUAUCGACGGAGCGGUUAACGGAUAGAGUGUCUCGGCCAGCCAAUAUUUUGGAGCGGAAGUGGACCACCGAGUUUGAAAAAACGGUAAAUAAAAUGGCGUUAAAGUUCCAUUUAUUUGGUGGAUGGAACCGUCCUGUAUAGCGCCGCCGGGAUUUGGGCGGCCCGGGAAAAGCGCCCGCUGAAUAACCGAGCCGGGUUGGUAAUUUUUAUUCCGGGUUGAGUGGCGCUAGUCCCCCAUUUAUAAGAAAUUAACGGAAGUGCUUACUAAAAUACCAGGCUAAUACAGCGGCGGCCAUUUGACUGAGGCCGAUGGGUAUAGCCGAUUGACCCAUCUAUGAAACCACCUUUCUCCCAUAAAAAUAGGAUGGCGGGAUAAACCACCGCCGGACUGGGGUCGGCUUAAGCGGUGGCUGACCGUCGACAGUCGGCUAGGCAGUGGAACGCCGACCGACUACAUACCGACCCAGUCAAAUCCCCGGCCCAUCGUUAUUCUUAUCUCCCGGAAUAAAAGUAAUCCGACUUACGGCGGGUGGCCGGAUCUGGCUGCUUACUAACAACUCGUUUCCCGGCUUGGCCUCGGCCGUCCUUUCCCAUCCCCAAUCAACUUUACACUAUUAGUAGGCGCCAGACCCUUCCGACCCAAUUUACCAAUUUGUUCGAUCGGCUGGUUAUAUCUCCACUCCUUCCCUCCCAAAGAAAAUGUACACGCGGGCUACCACGGUAAAAUAUAUACAACGGUAACGUAUAAAAACAUGUAUAUAUACCUCUGUAUACAUAAGUUACAUAUAUAUACAGUAUAUAUUGCGUGUACACGCAAAUGUGUAUAUAUCUCGGUUUUCCAUAGACCGUGUUAAAUUUUCUCUUCAUCGUAGGUAAUUAUUAGUUGACGGACCAAAGCCUUCAGCUGGAAAUUAAAAUUAUGGUUAACCGCGGUACCGAUAAGAACGGUAGUGGGGCCGGGUGGAUGGUCCCAGGAAUCCGUGUCCGUCCUUGGUGGGCGAAGCCGAAAAACAAUUACAAAGUACAGAUAAAGUAGAAAAGCAUCCCGUUUGUGAAGUUACUUUUAUACCGUGACAGAAAAUUAACGGCCAGUAGUCGACACCGGAGUCUCGGUGGCUCCAGUUUAUUUAGAAACUGCCAGAACCCAUUUUGGCCAUUUCGGUAUAUUAGCGGCCAGGGUAAUACCGCCCGACUCUGGCAGAAAUUGGUAAAAUUUUCCGAGUUUUAACUGGCAACUGCCAAAUUAUUAUUAUCAUUAUUAUUAUUACCAUCCUCAAUUUUAUAUUUGGUGUAUGUCGGGG
rnacentral:lncRNA from 1 species